AUUGAACGCUGGCGGCAGGCCUAACACAUGCAAGUCGAGCGGAUGAAGGGAGCUUGCUCCUGGAUUCAGCGGCGGACGGGUGAGUAAUGCCUAGGAAUCUGCCUGGUAGUGGGGGAUAACGUCCGGAAACGGGCGCUAAUACCGCAUACGUCCUGAGGGAGCAAGUGGGGGAUCUUCGGACCUCACGCUAUCAGAUGAGCCUAGGUCGGAUUAGCUAGUUGGUGGGGUAAAGGCCCACCAAGGCGACGAUCCGUAACUGGUCUGAGAGGAUGAUCAGUCACACUGGAACUGAGACACGGUCCAGACUCCUACGGGAGGCAGCAGUGGGGAAUAUUGGACGAUGGGCGAAAGCCUGAUCCAGCCAUGCCGCGUGUGUGAAGAAGGUCUUCGGAUUGUAAAGCACUUUAAGUUGGGAGGAAGGGCAGUAAGUUAAUACCUUGCUGUUUUGACGUUACCAACAGAAUAAGCACCGGCUAACUUCGUG
rnacentral:rRNA from 1 species